rnacentral:rRNA from 1 species
UGGGGAAUAUUGGACAAUGGACCAAGAGUCUGAUCCAGCAAUUCUGUGUGCACGAUGAAGUUUUUCGGAAUGUAAAGUGCUUUCAGUUGGGAAGAAAAAAAUGACGGUACCAACAGAAGAAGUGACGGCUAAAUACGUGCCAGCAGCCGCGGUAAUACGUAUGUCACAAAGCGUUUAUCCGGAUUUAUUGGGCGUAAAGUGCGUCUAGGUGGUUAUGUAAGUCUGAUGUGAAAAUGCAGGGCUCAACUCUGUAUUGCGUUGGAAACUGUAUAACUAGAGUACUGGAGAGGUAAGCGGAACUACAAGUGUAGAGGUGAAAUUCGUAGAUAUUUGUAGGAAUGCCGAUGGGGAAGCCAGCUUACUGGACAGAUACUGACGCUGAAGCGCGAAAGCGUGGGUAGCAAACAGGAUUAGAUACCCUGGUAGUCCAUGCCGUAAACGAUGAUUACUAGGUGUUGGGGGUCGAACCUCAGCGCCCAAGCAAACGCNNUAAGUAAUCCGCCUGGGGAGUACGUACGCAAGUAUG